rnacentral:piRNA from 1 species
UGAGAGAGCCUGGCUGUGAAAUCCU